rnacentral:rRNA from 1 species
UACGUAGGGCGCAAGCGUUGUCCGGAAUUAUUGGGCGUAAAGAGCUCGUAGGCGGUUUGUCGCGUCUGCUGUGAAAUCCCGAGGCUCAACCUCGGGCCUGCAGUGGGUACGGGCAGACUGGAGUGUGGUAGGGGAGAUCGGAAUUCCUGGUGUAGCGGUGAAAUGCGCAGAUAUCAGGAGGAACACCGGUGGCGAAGGCGGAUCUCUGGGCCAUUACUGACGCUGAGGAGCGAAAGCGUGGGGAGCGAACAGG